rnacentral:rRNA from 1 species
GACGAACGCUGGCGGCAUGCCUAAUACAUGCAAGUCGAGCGAACAGAUGAAGUGCUUGCACUUCUGACGUUAGCGGCGAACGGGUGAGUAACACGUAAGGAAUCUACCUAUAAGCGGGGGAUAACAUUCGGAAACGGGUGCUAAUACCGCAUAAUAUCUUCUUCCGCAUGGAAGAAGAUUGAAAGACGGCUCUGCUGUCACUUAUAGAUGACCUUGCGGUGCAUUAGUUGGUUGGUGGGGUAACGGCCUACCAAGAGGAUGAUGCAUAGCCGGCCUGAGAGGGUGAUCGGCCACAUUGGGACUGAGACACGGCCCAAACUCCUACGGGAGGCAGCAGUAGGGAAUCUUCCGCAAUGGGCGAAAGCCUGACGGAGCAAUGCCGCGUGAGUGAAGAAGGCCUUCGGGUCGUAAAGCUCUGUUAUAAGAGAAGAACAAAUUGUAGAGUAACUGCUACAGUCUUGACGGUAUCUUAUCAGAAAGCCACGGCUAACUACGUGCCAGCCGCCGCCGUAA